CACGCUGUAAACGGUGGGCACUAGGUGUGGGAUCCUUUCCAUGGGUUCCGUGCCGUAGCUAACGCAUUAAGUGCCCCGCCUGGGGAGUACGGCCGCAAGGCUAAAACUCAAAGGAAUUGACGGGGGCCCGCACAAGCGGCGGAGCAUGCGGAUUAAUUCGAUGCAACGCGAAGAACCUUACCUGGGUUUGACAUAUGCCGGAAGCAUUCAGAGAUGGGUGUGCCUUUUUGGCCGGUUUACAGGUGG
rnacentral:rRNA from 1 species